rnacentral:rRNA from 1 species
GGAGGAGGGUAACCUAGCUAAUAUCUAGGAUUAUCGGACGUUACUCGCAGAAUAAGCACCGGCUAACUCUGUGCCAGCAGCCGCGGUAAUACAGAGGGUGCGAGCGUUAAUCGGAAUUACUGGGCGUAAAGCGCGCGUAGGCGGUUUGUUAAGUCGGAUGUGAAAUCCCCGGGCUCAACCUGGGAACUGCAUUCGAUACUGGCAAGCUAGAGUAUGGGAGAGGAUGGUAGAAUUCCAGGUGUAGCGGUGAAAAUGCGUAGAGAUCUGGAGGAAUACCGAUGGCGAAGGCAGCCAUCUGGCCUAAUACUGACGCUGAGGUGCGAAAGCAUGGGGAGCAAACAGGAUUAGAUACCCUGGUAGUCCAUGCCGUAAACGAUGUCAACUAGCCGUUGGGGACCGUUGAGUCUUUAGUGGCGCAGCUAACGCGAUAAGUUGACCGCCUGGGGAGUACGGCCG